CAUGCCCCUUGAGGCGUUGCAGUCCAACUUUGUGUUGAGCCUGUGUCAUGAGGUGGCAGAGAAUAAACGCUGUAGGCGACCAU